rnacentral:rRNA from 1 species
UACGAAGGGGAGCUAGCGUUGUUCGGAUUUAGCUGGGCGUAAGCGCACGUAGGCGGAUGAUGUCAGGUCACGGGGUCGAAACUCCCGGAGCUCAACUUCGGAACUGCCUUUGAUACGUGGGAAUCGUCGAGUCCGGGAGAGGUGAGUGGAACUGCGAGUGUAGAGGUGAAAUUCGUAGAUAUUCGCAAGAACACCAGUGGCGAAGGCGGCUCACUGGCCCGGUACUGACGCUGAGGUGCGAAAGCGUGGGGAGCAAACAGG